AAUUUUGUCUUAUGCUUUGUUUUAAGGUUUAACAACUAACAGAAAUUCUUGAUUUUAAUGUUUUUAAAAUAAUGAUGUGGAUAGAUCUGAAUCACAAUCGCAUUGAAGGAGCGGCAAUCUGUUUAUGGCUCUCCUGGCUCUACAACUUCGAUUUAACAGAUGACAUCUUUGAGGAUGUAGGACGGAGAUUAGAUACUACAAGUUCAGUACAGCUUGUGCUUGGAUUGCAGACCGAUGAAGAUUGGUUGAACCCAGGACCGGAUCAGUGCGACAUAUUUACACUACAGCGGAGGGAGGAGGCACAAUGUGGCAUCUCUCAUCCUAACAACACACAAUAUGGUGUACUAACAGAAGAUAGUCCGUGUGUUCCGUGUAUAUUGCGGCGAACUAUUUCGUGGCUCAUUGUUUAUUUGUCCUGCGGAGUGAUCCUUGCAACUGGAAUUAUCUUUGAUCACCACAUCCAACAGCGGAUAAACAAGAUCAGGUUGAGACUAACGGCCUGGGUCUACCCCGUUAAACAGCUAACAAGUCUGAAUCCGAUAGAAGAUAAAGUGAAGGAUCUACUAAUGGCUGAGAUAAUGUUGGGAAAGACAGCACCAUUCCUUGAAACAACCCGAUUUGUAGCGAGGAACACUAGUAACACUACACUACUUACAGCGGAUAUCAUCAGGAUUCCUGAUACUAAGACAAAAUUAGCUAAUAGUAAGACAAAGAAACGGGCAACAAAACACAUUUUAAAUGAUUUUUGAAGGAAAUAAACGAGGUGUCCAAUUUUACAUAUUAAAUCGUAGUUUGAUUUAUAGAUUACAUAAGCUUUUUUCAAUUUCUUAAACUUAAUCGAUUUGAUGUUUGGUAUUAAACUACAUAAUAUACAUAAUAUACCUUAUCAGUGAUAAUUAUCACAAACAUUACUUGCACGCUGAAGACCUUAGCGUGAAUAAUUAUGUCAUUAAUAUAUUAACAGAGAAAACAGAGGUGACAAUACACUAGUACUUAAAUUGCUUUCCGUGUUAUUUACAAAAAUAUUGAGUGAGACACCCUGGGGAUUUGAAAAUCAGCUCUCUAAAAAUAAUUUGUAUUAUUUUUAUAUAUAAUUAGCCUAUCAACUUGAAAAGGUUA